rnacentral:hammerhead_ribozyme from 1 species
AUCCAGCUGACGAGUCCGAGAUGGGACGAAACGCGCGUCAAACUGGAU